rnacentral:snRNA from 1 species
UGCUAUGAGGGCAGUCUGCCUCUGACAUCUGCCACCCCAUUGGUUGUUGGUGGUGAUUCAGUUGAUUUGGUUGCCAAUAUGAUCAUCCCAUUCCUCCCUCACCACUCCACAAAGAUCCCUCCCAAACCUCCCAAAGCUACAUGUGAUUGAAGAGGACAGCCUUCCCUCACAGAGGAAGAGUGGUCUUCAACCAAAUGUACCUAGUAACUGCACUCCUCAGCUAGAACGUCCAAACAAGCUCUCAAGAAGCGACUCGGUAAAUAUUUACUGCACAUGGUACUGAUGAACUAGUUUUGUGAACUAGUUUUCACAG